rnacentral:rRNA from 1 species
AGUGAACGCUGGCGGUAGGCCUAACACAUGCAAGUCGAACGGCAGCACAGUAAGAGCUUGCUCUUACGGGUGGCGAGUGGCGGACGGGUGAGGAAUACAUCGGAAUCUACUUUUUCGUGGGGGAUAACGUAGGGAAACUUACGCUAAUACCGCAUACGACCUACGGGUGAAAGCAGGGGAUCUUCGGACCUUGCGCGAUUGAAUGAGCCGAUGUCGGAUUAGCUAGUUGGCGGGGUAAAGGCCCACCAAGGCGACGAUCCGUAGCUGGUCUGAGAGGAUGAUCAGCCACACUGGAACUGAGACACGGUCCAGAGUCCUACGGGAGGCAGCAGUGGGGAAUAUUGGACAAUGGGCGCAAGCCUGAUCCAGCCAUAACGAGUGGGUGAAGAAGGCCUUCGGGUUGUAAAGCCCUUUUGUUGGGAAAGAAAAGCAGCAGGUUAAUACCCAGCUGUUCUGACGGUACCCAAAGAAUAAGCACCGGCUAACUUCGUG